GCCCUCUUAGCUCAGGGGUAGAGCGUUUCACUCGUAUCUGUGUAUAACAAGAUGUUCGUCAUGAAAAGGUCGCUAGUUCAAUUCUGGCAGGGGGCA